GGGGGAAUAUUGCAGAAUGGGGGAAACCCUGAUGCAGCGACGCCGCGUGAACGAAGAAGGUAUUCGUAUCGUAAAGUUCUGUCCUAUGGGAAGAUAAUGACAGUACCAUAGAAGAAAGCUCCGGCUAAAUACGUGCCAGCAGCCGCGGUAAUACGUAUGGAGCGAGCGUUGUCCGGAAUUAUUGGGGGUAUAGGGUACGGAGGCGGUUUAAUAAGUCGAAUGUUAAAGAUCGGGGCUCAACCACGCAAAGCAUUGGAAACUGAUAAACUUGAGUAGUGGAGGGGAAAGUGGAAUUCCUAGUGUAGUGGUGGAAUACGUAGAUAUUAGGAGGAAUGCCAGUAGCGAAGGCGACUUUCUGGACACAAACUGACGCUGAGGUACGAAAGCGUGGGGAGCGAACAGG
rnacentral:rRNA from 1 species